UCUGACAUACUGAUUCCUCUUGGCUCUCUUCUUCUCUCUCACGCUAGAUCAUCCCCCUCUCUCUCAUUUGUUCACGAGGACGAUUGGAGACAUAACCGCUGGAGACCCUUACCUCUCUCUUUCUCAUUCGUUCACGAGGAGGACGCUUGGAGAUGUCACAGCGGUAGGGCCAUUCCUCUCUCUCUGUCUCUCAUUCAUUCACGAGGAGGACACUCGGAGACGUUAUUGCUGGAGGCCCAUAAGCUCUUCAAAGUUAGGAUUGAAUAUCUACAAAGAAGACACAUAUUGCUAACUGGAGGGGUGGUGUCUCUGAGAAUCAAUUUUUUCCAAGUACUCAUACACGAAGUUCAAGCAAUAAGAAAGGCAUACAAGUCUUUGGAGCCUAAUUAUCAGGCUCUGAUCACAUUUGUUGUUCUCUAAAAAUGGCAUCACACUCAUCUCUUUGCAAACAACCACGCUGAUCAUCGCUCUAUUGAUUGAAGCGGGAAUAUACUGCCUGGGAUUGUUGUUGACGCAAAGAUCUGCCAUCAAACAGAGUUUGACUUCUACUUGUGCAGUCAUGCAAGAGUAAAAGGUACAAGCCUUCCAACUCAUUAUCAUGUGCUUCUUGACGAGAAUUGGUUUACAGCUAGUCAACUCCAGUCUCUCACAAACAAUCUCUGCUACAUUUGUAAUGGAGCACAUUACUACUUUAGAUGCUGAGAGAUUUGCUGAAUCAUGUAGAGAAGGCUUUGUUACAGCAACAUUAACAAUGCAACAUCUUCUCCUUAGUGGGAACUCUUCGUUCCAAGGGCACUAGGUGAUCCAUACUUUUAUGGAUAUUGAGUUCAAUUACUCAAUCAUCACUAGACAAAGUAACAUCAGGGAAUGACAUUUACUGAAAUUUUUUACUACUGAGGAGUAUAUGCAAACUUAUACACACCAGCAAUCAUUAUCGGAGGAGUAUUUGCUCUGAUUGCAACUGUGCUCUCUUUGGCUAAUUUUGCAACUUUUCCAAUCAUACAGUAAUCAUGCUGAAAAAAAAUGGGUAAUUGGUGUAUUACUUAUGGACCCUGUUUAUGCCAUUGAAUCUGUAAGCACAAACUACUUUUUCUUGUGCAUUCACAAGUGACUCAUGAUAUAUCCAGAUUCCAAACUAUGUCUUAUAUGCACGGUGUAAAAUCAAAUGCAAAUUUUCUUGGGUGCUUCUUUUCAGGUUAUAACCUUGUCAACAACAAAAUUUUCUUUGAUCAGUGAUAUCUUGAGAAACUACCAUGAAGCAUUUGCCUUAUAUUCUUUUGAAUGAUGCUUAGUUGUUUGCCUAGGUGAACUUUUUCUACAAAUUCAACAACUG